rnacentral:rRNA from 1 species
UGCCCUAGUAACGGCGAGUGAAGCGGCAACAGCUCAAAUUUGAAAGCUAGCCUUCGGGUUCGCAUUGUAAUUUGUAGAGGAUGCUUUGGGUAAAACGCCAGUCUAAGUUCCUUGGAACAGGACGUCAUAGAGGGUGAGAAUCCCGUAUGUGACUGGAAAUGUUAACCUAUGUAAAGCUCCUUCGACGAGUCGAGUUGUUUGGGAAUGCAGCUCUAAAUGGGAGGUAAAUUUCUUCUAAAGCUAAAUAUUGGCGAGAGACCGAUAGCGCACAAGUAGAGUGAUCGAAAGAUGAAAAGCACUUUGGAAAGAGAGUUAAAAAGCACGUGAAAUUGUUGAAAGGGAAGCGCUUGCAAUCAGACUUGUUUAAACUGUUCGGCCGGUCUUCUGACCGGUUUACUCAGUUUGGACAGGCCAGCAUCAGUUUCGGCGGCCGGAUAAAGGCUCUGGGAAUGUGGCCUCCACUUCGGUGGAGGUGUUAUAGCCCAGUGUGUAAUACGGCCAGCCGGGACUGAGGUCCGCGCUUCGGCUAGGAUGCUGGCGUAAUGGUUGUAAGCGACCCGUCUUGAAACACGGACCAAGGAGUCUAACAUCUAUGCGAGUGUUCGGGUGUCAAACCCCUGCGCGUAAUGAAAGUGAACGGAGGUGGGAACCGCAAGGUGCACCAUCGACCGAUCCUGAUGUCUUCG